rnacentral:rRNA from 1 species
GUCGAGAAUCUUUCGCAAUGGGCGCAAGCCUGACGAAGCGACGCCGUGUGAGCGAAGAAGGCCUUCGGGUUGUAAAGCUCUUUCGCUAGGGAACAAGAGAGACGGGAUAAUACCCCGUUGAUUUGAUGGUACUUGGUAAAGAAGCACCGGCUAACUCCGUGCCAGCAGCUGCGGUAAUACGGAGGGUGCAAGCAUUGAUCGGAAUUACUGGGCGUAAAGGGCGCGUAGGCGGUUUAGAAAGUCAGAUGUGAAAUUCCGGGGCUCAACCCCGGAGCUGCAUUUGAAACUUCUAAACUAGAGUAUAGUUAGGGAAAACGGAAUUCCACGUGUAGCGGUGAAAUGCGUAGAUAUGUGGAAGAACACCGGUGGUGAAGACGGUUUUCUGGGCUAAAACUGACGCUGAGGCGCGAAAGCAAGGGGAGCAAACAGGAUUAGAAACCCUAGUAGUCC